rnacentral:rRNA from 1 species
AGAGCGAACGCUGGCGGCAGGCCUAACACAUGCAAGUCGAGCGCCCCGCAAGGGGAGCGGCAGACGGGAGAGUAACACGUGGGAACGUACCCUUCAGUUCGGAACAACCCAGGGAAACUUGGGCUAAUACCGAAUACGUCCGUAAGGAGAAAGAUUUAUCGCUGAAGGAUCGGCCCGCGUCUGAUUAGCUUGUUGGUGAGGUAACGGCUCACCAAGGCGACGAUCAGUAGCUGGUCUGAGAGGAUGAUCAGCCUCACUGGGACUGAGACACGGCCCAGACUCCUACGGGAGGCAGCAGUGGGGAAUAUUGGACAAUGGGCGCAAGCCUGAUCCAGCCAUGCCGCGUGGGUGAUGAAGGCCCUAGGGUUGUAAAGCCCUUUGGCGGGGAAGAUAAUGACGGUACCCGCAGAAGAAGCCCCGGCUAACUUCGUGCCAGCAGCCGC